rnacentral:rRNA from 1 species
CCUACGGGGGGCAGCAGUGAGGAAUAUUGGGCAAUGCCCGCAAGGGUGACCCAGCAACGCCGCGUGGAGGAUGAAGGCCGUAAGGUUGUAAACUCCUGUUAGAGGAGAAGAAUAGUACCGAUUGGAUCGGUAUUUGACUGUACCCUCAGAGAAAGCCCCGGCUAACUACGUGCCAGCAGCCGCGGUAAUACGUAGGGGGCAAGCGUUGUCCGGAUUUACUGGGUGUAAAGGGCGCACAGCAGGGCUGGCGUGAAAUCCUACAGCUAAACUGUAGAACUGCCUUUGAUACUGUUAUGCUUGAGUUCGGGAGAGAGAGACGGAAUUCCAGGUGUAGUGGUGAAAUACGUAGAUAUCUGGAAGAACACCAGUUGCGAAGGCGGUCUCUUGGUCCGAUACUGACGCUGAGGCGCGAAAGCGUGGGAGCAAACAGGAUUAGAUACCCGGGUAGUC